rnacentral:rRNA from 1 species
UAACGCGUGAGUAACCUGCCUUACACUGGGGGAUAACACUUAGAAAUAGGUGCUAAUACCGCAUAAGCGCACGAAGCCGCAUGGAUUUGUGUGAAAAACUCCGGUGGUGUAAGAUGGACCCGCGUCUGAUUAGCUUGUUGGCGGGGUAACGGCCCACCAAGGCGACGAUCAGUAGCCGGCCUGAGAGGGUGGACGGCCACAUUGGGACUGAGACACGGCCCAAACUCCUACGGGAGGCAGCAGUGGGGGAUAUUGGACAAUGGGGGGAACCCUGAUCCAGCGACGCCGCGUGAGUGAAGAAGUAUUUCGGUAUGUAAAGCUCUGUCAGCAGGGAAGAAAGAAAUGACGGUACCUGACCAAGAAGCCCCGGCUAACUACGUGCCAGCAGCCGCGGUAAUACGUAGGGGGCAAGCGUUAUCCGGAAUUACUGGGUGUAAAGGGAGCGUAGACGGUUAAGUAAGUCUGGAGUGAAAGGCCGGGGCCCAACCCCGGGACUGCUCUGGAAACUAUUCAACUUGAGUGCAGGAGAGGUAAGCGGAAUUCCUAGUGUAGCGGUGAAAUGCGUAGAUAUUAGGAGGAACACCAGUGGCGAAGGCGGCUUACUGGACUGUAACUGACGUUGAGGCUCGAAAGCGUGGGGAGCAAACAGGAUUAGAUACCCUGGUAGU